rnacentral:rRNA from 1 species
GAAUGCCUCUAAGUCAGAAUCCGUGCUGGAAGCGAUGAUGUUGGUCCCGCACUUAUUACGUGUGUUCAAAUAGAGCUUUGUCUCGUACACCAUACUUGGUAGGUUCCUCAGGGCAGCGGAAAGGCUGGUUCUGUGGUCUACGGAUGCAAUUGAAAUAUGGGCGGGGGUAAAUCCUUUGCAGACGACUUAAAUUGGAACGGAGUGCUGUAAGCAGUAGAGUAGCCUUGUUGCUACGAUCUGCUGAGGCUAAGCUCUU